UGCUUGUAUUAGCUGACCCCAAACAUCUGGGAAGGGAAGGCAGCUCGAGGCCUGGGGCUGGCAGCUUGUGUCAGAGCUGGAGGCUGGAAUUCUCUGCCUCUGCAUAUGUCAGCAAGCAUGAAAACCUUGUCAUCUUUGCCUCUGAAGAACAUGUGCCUUUCUGUGAGAAACAAACUCCUUAUUUAUUUAUUUUUUUCCUUUUCUGAUCCUACUUUUUCUCCUUGAAUCGGUGAUUUGUUGUUGUUGUUUGGUGGAGGGGCUGAGGGAGGGAAAUGGGGGCAGUUUGCAAACGAUGUGACUUAACAUG
rnacentral:lncRNA from 1 species